CCACGGCUCAGUUGGUAGAGCAUGGUGUUUGCAACGCCAGCAUGGUGUGUGUGCAACGCCAGGGUUGUGGGUUCGAUUCCCACGGUGGG
rnacentral:tRNA from 1 species